UCUAUCCAUCCCGGUGAUCAUCUUCAAAGCUUGAAGCGAGGGAGGUAAUCAUCUGGUGCUAACAAGUUUCCAGUAACAGGAAGUUGUAGUGACAGGCUGUGCUGCUCCUGUAUCUAACUGUUAAUAAUAGUGUCUUCCGGCCUAUACCACGGAAAGAAGUCCAAACAUCAAUCAGCAUUUGAGAGAAUACCAGGUGCAUAUUCCAGAAUAAAGAUACAUCUUCAGUAUUAUGACAACCUACGAGCGAGAAUUAUUUUAUCUGCCCUUGCCACCAAAGGACGAGCAUGGCUUUUAUAUGAGCGUUGCUGUCCUUGCGUUUCCGUUCGAUAAUAAUGGAAAUGUCGACUCCUUCAGCGCCUGCUGUGGGCCUUUUAUCGACAUCUUUGAAAUGACUCCGGGAUGGAUAGACUAUUUUAAGGAACAUUAUAUUAGACGAAGGAGAAUCACUCAUCUUUUACUAAGUUUCCAUAGAAAUAAAAAAGAAAUGCUACAGUAUCUGAAAGAUAAUUUACCUGGAAUUAUUAUAGGGGAUUUUGACAAAGGGAUACCAUAUGGUCCCAUGCGAAUAAUUCAUAGCCAAACAAGUGGCAGUUUGUAUGACAAAGCAGUCAAAGCCUUAAUGUGGCUUAGAGAGCUUUUCUCUGAAAUAAGGGAGUUAUUUUCACUUCCUCGAUAAUUCCCGAUUAACGUUUUUCAGAACUUCCAUGCCAUUUUUUCAGCUCUAGUGAUAAAUGGAAUUCAUUAAAGAAAAAUUGCACAAUUAGAUAGUCAUUUUAUCUCUAAUUUCAAAACAUAUACUGGUGUGCCAAAUCAUAAAACUUUCAUCAGCUCUGUUUCUAAAUAUAAAAAAUAAUAAUGAUCUAGUAGACACAAUACAAACAUUAAAUAGCUAGGUCAUCAGAUAAUUAUUAAAAGACAUAGCCUUUAUUCAAUAAGAUCCAUUCAAUUUAUAAUUCUUUCCUCAAAAAGAAAUGAAUUUCAAUGGAUUUUAUUUCGUUCAUAUUUAUUUUCAUGUCAUUUUAUUAAACUGUUUAAAACUAUAUGCGCUUGAAUUCAAGAAUCUGAUAUUUUCUAAAAAAAUUCAAAAAUAAAUUUCGUUCUA